AGUGAACGCUGGCGGUAGGCCUAACACAUGCAAGUCGAACGGCAGCACAGUAAGAGCUUGCUCUUACGGGUGGCGAGUGGCGGACGGGUGAGGAAUACAUCGGAAUCUACUUUUUCGUGGGGGAUAACGUAGGGAAACUUACGCUAAUACCGCAUACGACCUACGGGUGGAAGCAGGGGAUCUUCGGACCUUGCGCGAUUGAAUGAGCCGAUGUCGGAUUAGCUAGUUGGCGGGGUAAAGGCCCACCAAGGCGACGAUCCGUAGCUGGUCUGAGAGGAUGAUCAGCCACACUGGAACUGAGACACGGUCCAGACUCCUACGGGAGGCAGCAGUGGGGAAUAUUGGACAAUGGGCGCAAGCCUGAGCCAGCCAUACCGCGUGGGUGAAGAAGGCCUUCGGGUUGUAAAGCCCUUUUGUUGGGAAAGAAAAGCAGCAGGUUAAUACCCCGCUGUUCUGACGGUACCCAAAGAAUAAGCACCGGCUAACUUCGUG
rnacentral:rRNA from 1 species